rnacentral:rRNA from 1 species
UACGUAGGUGGCAAGCGUUGUCCGGAAUUAUUGGGCGUAAAGCGCGCGCAGGUGGGAUGUUAAGUCUGCUGUAAAAGUGCGGGGCUCAACCCCGUGAAGCGACAGAUACUGGCAUUCUUGAGUGCAGGAGAGGAAAGCGGAAUUCCCAGUGUAGCGGUGAAAUGCGUAGAUAUUGGGAGGAACACCAGUGGCGAAGGCGGCUUUCUGGACUGUGUCUGACACUGAGGCGCGAAAGCUAGGGGAGCGAACGGG